GAGAUCCUCGACGUCUCCCU
rnacentral:misc_RNA from 1 species